rnacentral:rRNA from 1 species
GCCAAAGCCUAAAACUCAAGGGACUUGGCGGUGCUUUAUAUCCUUCUAGAGGAGCCUGUUCUAUAAUCGAUAAACCCCGAUAAACCUCACCAACCCUUGCCAACUCAGCCUAUAUACCGCCAUCUUCAGCAAACCCUGAAAAGGACCCACAGUAAGCUCAAUAAUAGUACAUAAAGACGUUAGGUCAAGGUGUAGCCUAUGGGUUGGAAAGAAAUGGGCUACAUUUCCUAAUAUUAGG